rnacentral:rRNA from 1 species
GCCCAAGAGAUCGGGAUAACACCUGGAAACAGAUGCUAAUACCGGAUAACAACAGAUGAUGCCUAUCAACUGUUUAAAAGAUGGUUCUGCUAUCACUCUUGGAUGGACCUGCGGUGCAUUAGCUAGUUGGUAGGGUAACGGCCUACCAAGGCGAUGAUGCAUAGCCGAGUUGAGAGACUGAUCGGCCACAUUGGGACUGAUACACGGCCCAAACUCCUACGGGAGGCAGCAGCGG